rnacentral:rRNA from 1 species
UACGUAGGGGGCAAGCGUUGUCCGGAAUCAUUGGGCGUAAAGAGCGUGUAGGCGGCCCGGUAAGUCCGCUGUGAAAGUCCAGGGCUCAACCCUGGAAUGCCGGUGGAAACUGUCGGGCUAGAGUCCGGAAGAGGCGAGUGGAAUUCCUGGUGUAGCGGUGAAAUGCGCAGAUAUCAGGAGGAACACCAAUGGCGAAGGCAGCUCGCUGGGACGGUACUGACGCUGAGACGCGAGAGCGUGGGGAGCAAACAGG